GGGGGCAGGGCGAGGGCAGGGCGGGGGCAGGGCGCCACCUCGUGGCUGGGGUGCCUGCGCAAACCAGCUGCCUCACCAGCCCUGGAGCUCGCACCACGAGGCCUCACCUCACUUGUGCUGUCCCCCUGGCCACGUCUGUCUUUGUCUCACCUGACGUGCUGUGCCUCUCCUGCCAGGGCUCUGUCCUGUCUGCCGCCACUACCGCCGCAUGGCCCUACUCGGCCUGCAGCCCGCUCGCCGCUUCGCUCCCUCAGAGACCCCGCGCCAGCGGUCCGUAUUGGCCAAGGUCAUAUUUCUCUGCUUCUUUGCACGCCUGAUAAUUUUUAACUUGAUAUCUACAUUGUGAAUUUCACCUUGUUUUUAUAGAGACCGGGUCUUGCUAUGUUUCCCAAGCUGUUCUUGAUCUCCUGGCUUCAAGUGAUCCUUGACCUCCCAAAGUACUGGGAGGAUAGACAUGAGCCACUGUGCCUGACCCAAGUGGAAUAAACUCUAAUGUUAAGUGGGGGAAGUCAAGAUGGCUAACCAGGCACAGCCAGGUGGAUCAUUUCUUACCAAAAGGAUGAGACUUCAGGAAGACUGGCACAUUCUGAGCAGAUCUUUGUGGGGAAGGCAUUGAGAGUGGACAGAGCUUCAGGCACGUCUCAGGCAAGCCUCCCUCUCAUGGAAGUUCCCAGGAAGCCCACCAUGUAAGUGUCUGCACGUGUCUGUAGAAGAGGAGGAAAUAUUUUUCCGGGAGCCGGCUGAUUACACAAAGAACAAAGUUCUGCAAUUGUAACCCUCAAGAGAAGAGGAGGAAGAGAGAAGUAUUUGGUGCUCUAAAACAAAACAAAACAAAACAAAAAACUUCCAACAUAGACAACUCAGGAUCAGAUAGCUUCACCAGUAAGUCAUAUCAAACAUUUAAAGAAUUAACACCACUCUUCUCAAACUCUUUCAAAAGAAAUGGAAAGUGAAAAAAUACUUUUGAAAUCAUUGUAUGAGGCCAGCUACAAAGACACGACGAGAAAACAAGAUAAUAGACCAAUAGAUUUUCUGAAUAUAGAUGAAUGAAUGUGGGAAAAUACCUCACGUCCAUGGAUUAGAAGACUUAAUACUGUUAAAAUGAUGUUUCCACUCAAAACAAUAUACAGUGUCAAUGCAAUCCCUAUCAAAAUCUCAAUGGUCUUUUUUUAGAAAUGUAAAAACCCAUUAUGAAAUUUAUAUGCUAUUUCAAUGAAUCCUGAAUAAGCAAAACAGUAUUAGGGAAAAAUGUUGGAGAAUUGACAUUUUUUCUUUUAAAAUGUACUAUAAAUCUAUAGUAAUCAAACAUUAUGGCUCUGGCAUAAGGAUAGAAAUAUAGGUUAAUGAAAUUGAAUUGAUAACCCAAUAAUAAACUCUUACAUAAGCAGUCAAUUGAAUAACCCAGACAUGGUGGCUCACACUUGCAAUCCCAGCACUUUGGGAGGCCAUGGUAGGAGCAUCACUUGAACCCCGAAGUUUAAGACCAGCCUGGUCAACGUGGUGAGACCCUAUCUCUGCCAAAAAUUUAAAAUUUGCCAGGCAUCGUGGUGCAUGCUUGUAGUCCCAGUUACUCAGGAGGCUAAGGCAGGAGGAUCACCUGAGCCUGGGAGGUCAAGACUGCAGUGAGCCAUGGAUUGUGCCACUGUACUCCAGCCUGGAUAACAGAGCGAGACUCUAUCGCUACAAUUUAAAUUUAAAAAUAUUAAAGAUCAGUUGAAUUUCGCAAGGGUACCAAGAUAAUUUAAUGGAAAAAGAAAAGUUUCUGCAACAAGUAGUACUAGAAAAACUGAAUAUGCACAUGCAAAAUAUGAAGUUGAGACCAUUAUACCAUAUUCAAAAAUUAAUUCAAAUUGAUUCAAAUAGAGUCAUUUCCCCUUAUCUGUAGAAGCUAUGUUUCACGACCUCACCCAAUGGUUGAAACUGGACAGUAUCAAACCCUGUAACUGUAUAUAUAAUGUGUGUGUAUGUGUGUGUGUAUAUAUAUAUGUGUGUGUAUAUAUACUUAUAUAUAUGUUUAAUACAUAAGUUAGGAAGAAAUUAACAACAAUAAAUAAUAAAAUAGUACAAUUGUAACAAUACACUGUAAUAAAAGUUAUGUGAAUGUGGU